CCUACGGGGGGCAGCAGUGGGGAAUAUUGCACAAUGGGCGAAACCCUGAUGCAGCGACGCCGCGUGAGUGAAGAAGGAAUUCGGUAUGUAAAGCUCUAUCAGCAGGGAAGAAAAUGACGGUACCUGAGUAAGAAGCUCCGGCUAACUACGUGCCAGCAGCCGCGGUAAUACGUAGGGGGCAAGCGUUAUCCGGAUUUACCGGGUGUAAAGGGAGCGUAGACGGCUGUGCAAGUCUGGAGUGAAAGUCGGGGGCUCAACCCCCGGACUGCUCUGGAAACUGUACGGCUUGAGUGCAGGAGAGGUAAGUGGAAUUCCUAGUGUAGCGGUGAAAUGCGUAGAUAUCUGGAGGAACAUCAGUGGCGAAGGCGACUAUCUGGCACAUAACUGACGCUGAGGAGCGAAAGCGUGGGUAGCAAACAGGAUUAGAUACCCUUGUAGUC
rnacentral:rRNA from 1 species